UCUCCUGUGCCUGAGGUCCAGGGCUGCAGCUCCCUGGUGGAGACCCUCCCACAUCCCCCCUCCUGCAGCAGCCCUGCUGUCCCCCACCUCAGCUCCAGCCCAGCCUCACCUGCGCUCGCUGUCCCUUGGGGUCGCGACAAGUUGCAAAGACCCACUCAGGUGGGUUUGGCAAUGCCAGCAGGUGCUGGACAAAGCCCAGGCCGAUUCCCCGGUUGGCCCCAGUCACCAGAGCGGAGCGGACACGCAGCUCUCCCAUGUUG